rnacentral:lncRNA from 1 species
UUUCGCGGAUGAAACUUUUUGUAGUGGGGGAGGAUGUAGUGUUCCUGAGCUUUGGAUAGGAUUGGCUUCAGUAUUAGUGACUGGUCGAUAUCUCUGGAGAGUGUCGGACUGAGUCGAAGUCAAUUCUGUGCGAAUUGGAUGCAGAAUUGGACUCGGUGCACUCAAAUAAGCAAAACUAAAGUUUUGCGAGAUCCGGGCGCCCAGAACAUGGUUUAGGUCGCCCAGAACUGAGUGUUAAAAUUUAACUGAAACUGGAGCCAAUUCGGAUCCUAUGUUCCGGGCGCCCAGAAGUGGGUCCGAAAAUUCUACAUCGUGAAUAUCGUUUGCUUCGACGCGUGGCAGGGUGGUAGGUGAGGUCCGCCGAAGCCGUUUACGGGCGCAGCACACCGCGAGCCGAGAAUCCGAGGAGGAUGAUUUGUGCAGCCUGGAUGUUUCAGUCGCCCAGAACAUGGUUCCGGGCGCCCAGAACAUGGUUCCGGGCGCCCAGAAAUGCCCAUUUCAGCAGGGACACCGGAUUGCAGCUGUUUCUCUUGGGGCUUAUUUUAUCCCUCCAGCACCCUAUAAAUACCUGGUAUACGUCCCCUUUGAGAUCUUUUUACCUGUUCUUCACAGAGAACUUAGAUUUUGCUCCUUAAUCCCUCCAAUCUUUCCAAAUUGCAUCAAGAUCCACAUCUCCAAGAGUUGCGAGGUACUGAUUCUGUAGUUUUCCCAGCGACGACCUUCAGUGUUUUGGCUUGUGCGCGACGUAGGGAUAUCGGAUUUUGACGAAACUUGGUUUGCUAGAUUCUAGACUUUCAGAGGAAUCCACGAAGCCCUGACUUGCAGAAUUUAGUGAAGGUUAGCUCAGUCGAACUCAGGUUUUCCUCUGCUGCUGUUGAUAUGGACAGAAUUGCAUGUUUUUGAGUUUUCUUGGGGUGAACUUUGGAAGCCGGGGCUUUGUGGAGUUGAGUCACAUCCCCUACCAACCAAUACUGGAAUUGGGACCAUCUUCACCUGAUUUGGAGAUUGUUAGGUGAGUUUUGACAUUGGAAUUGGAUAAAUCAUAAGCUUAAGUGCUGAAAUUGACGAAUUGUAAUGCAUUUUGGGUGAAUUGUAAUGUCCAGGUUUUGAGGGGAUUGUUGCUGGUUUGGAGGUGUUUCCAGCUGUGCUACUUGUGAUCCGAGACCAUGUUGCUGCCAGAGGAAUCGCGUUUGAGGUGGGUUUGCAUCGGAUUACUCCUAAGUAAUGAGUAGAUGUUUAGUCGACAUGUAUGUUUUGUUGUUCGGUCUACAAUGUGAUUAGAUUAAAUUCAGUGAUAAGUUGUAGCUGUAACCUGAAUUUAAGCAUACUAAAUAAGUGACAUUUACACAUGUCGGACUUGAAAAAUUGACUUAGGAGAAAACCUGCGUUUUGACCCGUCAUAUGCUUAAACUACCAGAUUUAGCUCUAGGAGCCGUGGGUUGUCUGUAUCGUUGUAGUAUCAGUGCGAUGGAUAUCUGGGGUAGUUUAGAAGGCAUUUACGCUCGUGCUGGGGUGCCGAGCUUAUUUUUCAGCAGAGUCUAGGCUGUUUCGGGUCGUUGGGUGCCGUCCGGGUUGGCGGUGGACCUAGAUUCUUGUUUUGGUUUCAGAUUGUGCCGAGGGCACGUGGGUUUGGUUUGUAGACCUGUUUUGACCCUAUUUACAUGACUUUGGCUAGUUGGAGCCUGAUUGAGCUCGACAGAGAAACGCUGCAUACUCGAUUGGGUAGCUCCCACAAGUGUCACUCCGGAGACGGGCGCUGUGCUUUCGCAUUGGUGUCGCUCAUGCCGAUUGGACUUGCUCUCCACGAACUAGUAGUGUGGAGGUAGCUGGACAGUCACAACUGGCCAGGGACGGGUGUGUUCACAGUCCAAGGGACGGGUAUGCUUACAGUCUCGAUUGGAUUGAGUCAGAUUUGACAUUUCCUACAGUUGGUUAGUGUAGAGCAUGAUAGUGUAGUGAUCCAUAGCUGUAGAUUUCAUUCCUGCAUUUACUGCUAUCUUUGCUCCCUUCUGUAGACUUAGUGGGUGGACCGAUAUUGUUGAGGGCGGCACCCACUGAGGACUACCUGUUUUUACAGUAGUUCUCACGCCCUGUUAUUACCCCCUGUUUUUGCAGAGCCACCAUCGUCGGCUGCUGCUGUCGCAGAUCAGGAUCGAGGCAAGGGCGUCACGAGUUAGAGCCCUACCAGACGUGCCGAGCUAGAGGUACCCUUACUGCAGGUAGAUGUUUUGCUUUGAGUUCAUGUACAUAGUAUGCUUAACUCGCCAGUGCGAGUAGCUCUGUAUUUUCAGUAUUGAACUAUGUAUAUGGAACUCUGUUUGUUUAGCUUCUGUUUACUCUAGCAGCUCUAUACUACUGUUUGUAGUAUUUUAUGGGUUACAGGAACUGCUAUCGCUUCGUAUACAGGGAAAAUUCCUUUGUAUACGGCGGAUUUGUUGGCGUGCCCGGAGAACGUGUAAUCCAGGGCGUGACAGGUGAGGUCCGCCGGAGCCGUUUACGGGCACAGCACACCGCGGGCGGAGGAAUCGAAGGGGAGCAUUUGUGCAGGCUGGAAGUUCUGGGCGCCCAGAACUUGGUUUAGGGCGCCCAGAUCUCGGAUUUUCUGCAGGGAUAGCAGGUUUCAACAAUUGUUCCUGAGGGUUAUCUGACCACUCCAGCACCCUAUAAAUACCUGGUGUACAUCCCCUUUGAGCUCUUUUCACCUGCCCUUCACAGAGAACCCUGAAUUUGCUCUUCAAUCCCUCAAAUAUUCUUAAUUUGCAUCAAGAUCCACAACUCCAAGAUUUGCAAGGUGCUGAUUCUGCAGUUUUUCCAGCGACGACCUUCAGUGUUUUGGCUCGUGCGCGACGUAGGGAAGUCGGAUUGCGACGAAACUUGGUUUGUUGGAUUCUAGACUUCCAGAGGAAUCCAGGAAGCCUUGAAUUGCGGAUUUUGGUUAAGGUUAGCUCAGUCAAUUUCUCAGGUUUCUGGACUGUUGUGGUUUUGGACCUGAUUUUUGGAUUUCUUGAAUUUUCUUGAUACGAUCGUUGGAAACAGGGGGAUUUUGGACCUGAGACUCAUACUCCAUCACUACUCACUGCUUUUGGAACUCCACCUCAACUGAUUUGGAGUCGGAUGGUAAUGUUAGCAUUACAAGUGGAUAAUUUAGCUUAAGUGCUGAAAUUUUAGUUGUAUUGAUGGAUUUUGGAUCUUGUUAAAGUCUAGAGUUUGGAGAACUCUUGUUACUGUCUUGGAGGAGCUUCGGUUGAUCCAGCAGAGGAAGUCCUUGUGGUUCGAGACCUCCUUGCUGUCAGGAAGUGCUUUAGAGAUGGGUUACAUCGGUUUAUUCCAAAGCACAGUAUUAGUCGACAUGCAUGAUUUCCAGUUUUUGUAAAUCAUAUUGUAGCUCAAUUUCGUUGAUUGUAUCAUGGAUGAAAUCAGUAUUGAGGACAUGAUUAGUAAACCAUAAAUAUACAUGUUCGACUUGGAUUUGACUUAGGAGAAAACCGCGAGUAUAACCUGUCAUAUGCUUAAACUACCUGAUUUAGCUCUAGGAGCAGUUGUAAUUUUGUAUCGUUGCAGUAUCGAUAUGACGGAUACCCCAGGUAGUUUAGAGUUCAGUUACGCUCGUGCUGGGAUGCCGAGUGUAUUUUUACAGUAGCAUUAAGGCUGUUCCGGACUGUUGGGUGCUGUCGAAGUUGACGGUGGACCCAUAUCGCCUUUUUGGCGUCGGAUUGUGCCGAAGGCACGUGACCUGUUGGUUGUUAGACCAGUUAGAGUCGGUUACUUGGACUUUGGCUUGAGAGAGCCUGAUUGAGCUCGACAGAGAUACGUUCCAUACUCAAUUGGGUAGCUCCCACGAGUGCCACUCCGGAGACGGGCGCUGUGCUUUCGCAUUGAUGUCGUGCAUGCCGGUUAGACUUGCUCUCCACGGACUGGAUAGUGUGGAGGUAGCUGGAUAGUCCCAACUGGGUGGGGCUGGUGUGUUCACAGUCCCUGGGACGGGUAUAUUUACAGUCCCUAAAGAGAUUAGGUCAGAUUUGACAUUACUAC